GAUGAACGCUGGCGGCGUGCCUAAUACAUGCAAGUCGAGCGAACAGACGAGGAGCUUGCUCCUCUGACGUUAGCGGCGGACGGGUGAGUAACACGUGGAUAACCUACCUAUAAGACUGGGAUAACUUCGGGAAACCGGAGCUGAUACCGGAUAAUAUAUUGAACCGCAUGGUUCAAUAGUGAAAGACGGUUUUGCUGUCACUUAUAGAUGGAUCCGCGCCGCAUUAGCUAGUUGGUAAGGUAACGGCUUACCAAGGCAACGAUGCGUAGCCGACCUGAGAGGGGAACGGGCAACAGGGGAACUGAAACGCGGCCAAGACCCCAGGGGGGGGCAGCGGUGGGAAAUUUUCGGAAAGGGGGAAAGGUUGGAGGGAGCAACGCGGGGGGAGGAAGAAGGGUUUUGGAUCGAAAAACCUCUUUUAUAGGGAAAAAAAAAAUGUGAAAGAAACUAGGCGCGUUUGACGGUACCAAAACAAAAAACCCCGGCUAACCGCGG
rnacentral:rRNA from 1 species